AAGCCAGGUCUGUGGAGCGUGCGGACAGUUCUCAGGGCAGUGAAAUGUCCACUCCUUGCCCUCAAACUGCAAGCACAGCACCUCGGUGUGGAGAUCUGUCGACACCUAGAUCUCGACAUGCAGCAGGAGGUUGUCCCAUGGAUGGCUAUCGCUCUAGGUCCAGAGGUAGGUCCAGCAGAGGAUACAGACACAGGUCCAGAUCACGGCACAGUGGUUCGAGGAACACGGACAGGUCCAGGUCACAGCA